rnacentral:rRNA from 1 species
AUUGAACGCUGGCGGCAGGCCUAACACAUGCAAGUCGAACGAGUGGCGGACGGGUGAGUAAUGUCUGGGAAACUGCCUGAUGGAGGGGGAUAACUACUGGAAACGGUAGCUAAUACCGCAUACCAUCGGAUGUGCCCAGAUGGGAUUAGCUAGUAGGUGGGGUAAAGGCUCACCUAGGCGACGAUCCCUAGCUGGUCUGAGAGGAUGACACGCAAAACUGGGACGGGGACACGGUCCAGACUCCGACGUGAGGCAGCAGUGGGGAAUAUUGCACAAUGGGCGCAAGUCUGAUGCAGCCAUGCCGCGUGUGUGAAGAAGGGCUUCGGAUUGUAAAGCACUUUAAGUUGGGAGGCGUUACCAACAGAAUAAGCACCGGCUAACUUCGUGCCAGCAGCCGCGGUAAUAC